AUAAUUGUGUGGACGAAUACAGGGACAACCAUAGAGCCAUCUAGAGCCGUCAACGGGUAUUGACAAGCCUUAAAUGUGGGUCAAGUGACAACUAUGUAAAUUGAUCCUGGCGCUUUUUGUCCAAGUACCACAUUGAACAUUAAUUUUGUGUGGGUGUUAGUGGAUCUGCAAAACAAACUUGAUCACAGUGUGUAUUGAAGUGGACCUGCAAAACAAACUCCAUCACGUGUAUUAUGUUUGUUCUUCAUAUGGCUUUAUUGUCUUGAAUGCACAACCACUCAUUAGAAUUGGACUUGUGAAACACUAGUACACCACAACUGAAACCAGAUCUGAAAGAGACUCCCCAGAGUCUAAAUAUAGAACACCUCACAGUGCAUCAUGGGAAGCGGUCAAGCUGAAGGUGCCCCGGGUGGGAAAGUUGGCUGUCCAGGACUAUUGUGGGGAUUCAUUUGGUUUCUGAUCUUGAUAUUCCUCGGAUGGCCAAUAGGAUUUUUUGUGGCAUGGUGGUACAUUUUCCUACUGCCGUUUUCUGCAUGCAUCGAGGCACUUAAAGACACUUGUGAACUUUUGCUAAGAAUAGUGAAACUGCCACUGACAUGUGCACAGAACAUGGUGGCCAUGAAACCUCUAUGUGGAUAACAAUUCUAUAUUGAAGACGUACCUGUCUACACCAGCAUUUGAAAUAAUAGUCUCAGCAUCACAAAUGUAAAUUAAAUGUCAUUUUGCUUGGUUUGUAGCUUUUGUAUUAUUAUUGCUUAAUAAUAAUGCAUUCUUUCAUUUAUGAUCUGUCACCUCUAGAUAUCAAUUUUUAAAUCAGCAUUAACUUACACGCAAUGUUGUAUCUGAUGUCAAUAAAAAAUCUUGUGUAAAAAAAUUGUUGUAUAUCCCAAACCCU